rnacentral:rRNA from 1 species
AGAGCGAACGCUGGCGGCAGGCCUAAUACAUGCAAGUCGAACGGACCCUUCGGGGUUAGUGGCGGACGGGUGAGUAACACGUGGGAACGUGCCCUUUGGUUCGGAACAACUCAGGGAAACUUGAGCUAAUACCGAAUGUGCCCUUCGGGGGAAAGAUUUAUCGCCAUUGGAGCGGCCCGCGUCUGAUUAGCUAGUUGGUGGGGUAAAGGCUCACCAAGGCUACGAUCAGUAGCUGGUCUGAGAGGAUGAUCAGCCACAUUGGGACUGAGACACGGCCCAAACUCCUACGGGAGGCAGCAGUGGGGAAUAUUGGACAAUGGGCGCAAGCCUGAUCCAGCCAUGCCGCGUGAGUGAUGAAGGCCCUAGGGUUGUAAAGCUCGUUUUGUGCGGGAAGAUAAUGACGGUACCGCAAGAAUAACGCCCCGGCUAACUUCGUGCCAGCAGCCGC